rnacentral:rRNA from 1 species
UACGUAGGGGGCAAGCGUUGUCCGGAUUUAUUGGGCGUAAAGAGCGUGUAGGCGGCCAUACAGGUCAGCUGUGAAAACUCGAGGCUCAACCUCGAGACGUCGGUUGAAACCGUAUGGCUAGAGUCCGGAAGAGGAGAGUGGAAUUCCCGGUGUGAGCGGUGAAAUGCGCAGAUAUCGGGAAGAACACCCGUGGCGAAGGCGGCUCUCUGGGACGGUACUGACGCUGAGACGCGAAAGCGUGGGGAGCGAACAGG